GGGGCUAUAGCUCAGUUGGGAGAGCACCUGGUUUGCAACCAGGGGGUCGUCGGUUCGAUCCCGGCUAGCUCCACAA
rnacentral:tRNA from 1 species